ensembl:antisense
UCAAAAGCAAGUGUUUUUACCCACGGACCCAUCUCUCCAGCUGCUUUUUUUUUUUUUUUUAAGAUUUAUUUAUUUAUUAUAUAUAAGUACACUGUGGCUGUCUUCAGACACACCAGAAGAGGACAUCAGAUCUUGUUACAGGUGGUUGUGAGCCACCGUAUGGUUGCUGGGAUUUGAACUCAUGACCUUUGGAAGAGCAGUCGGUGCUUUUACCCGUUGAGCCAUCUCACCAGCCCCCGCUGUUGUUCUUUUUAAAGAUAGUCUUACCUGACUGGCCUGAAACUCCAUAUAUUAAGAUUGAAGGGAUCUUCUGCCUCCUAAAUAUUGGAAUAAAAAAUUUCUUUUCCUUCUUUGACACAGGGUCUCACUCAAUGUGCUUGUAUGUUAACUCACAAGGAUCUUCAUCUUCUACUUCUCUAGUGCAGGGAUUGUUUGUACUACCAUUCCUAGCCCAGGCUUUAGUUUUUAUAUCCACAAAAGCGGUUAUUAAUGCUUGAUGAGUUCCCCAGUCUUUGGAGCCUUUAAAUACUGCUUACUUAUUUAAUAUGGGGAUUACUAAAACCAUCUAUUUGGUAACUCUGAGAUUGGGACUGGGAAUCUGUGGUUUUUAGGAUUUGAUUCCUUUUUUUGUUGCGGGGAGAUAGGGUGGUGGUUUUCUGUGACAGCCAGGGCUAUAAAGUGAAACCCUGUCUGGAAAAACCAAAAAAAAUUUUUU